GGGUGAGUAAUGUCUGGGAAACUGCCUGAUGGAGGGGGAUAACUACUGGAAACGGUAGCUAAUACCGCAUAACGUCGCAAGACCAAAGAGGGGGACCUUCGGGCCUCUUGCCAUCAGAUGUGCCCAGAUGGGAUUAGCUAGUAGGUGGGGUAACGGCUCACCUAGGCGACGAUCCCUAGCUGGUCUGAGAGGAUGACCAGCCACACUGGAACUGAGACACGGUCCAGACUCCUACGGGAGGCAGCAGUGGGGAAUAUUGCACAAUGGGCGCAAGCCUGAUGCAGCCAUGCCGCGUGUAUGAAGAAGGCCUUCGGGUUGUAAAGUACUUUCAGCGGGGAGGAAGGUGUUGAGGUUAAUAACCUCAGCAAUUGACGUUACCCGCAGAAGAAGCACCGGCUAACUCCGUGCCAGCAGCCGCGGUAAUACGGAGGGUGCAAGCGUUAAUCGGAAUUACUGGGCGUAAAGCGCACGCAGGCGGUCUGUCAAGUCAGAUGUGAAAUCCCCGGGCUCAACCUGGGAACUGCAUUCGAAACUGGCAGGCUAGAGUCUUGUAGAGGGGGGUAGAAUUCCAGGUGUAGCGGUGAAAUGCGUAGAGAUCUGGAGGAAUACCGGUGGCGAA
rnacentral:rRNA from 1 species